rnacentral:rRNA from 1 species
UGGGGAAUCUUGGACAAUGGGGGCAACCCUGAUCCAGCCAUGCCGCGUGAGCGAUGAAGGCCUUAGGGUUGUAAAGCUCUUUCACCCGUGAAGAUAAUGACGGUAGCGGGAGAAGAAGCCCCGGCUAACUCCGUGCCAGCAGCCGCGGUAAUACGGAGGGGGCUAGCGUUGUUCGGAAUUACUGGGCGUAAAGGGCGCGUAGGCGGAUGUUCAAGUCGGGGGUGAAAUCCCGGGGCUCAACCCCGGAACUGCCUCCGAUACUGGAUGUCUCGAGGACGGAAGAGGCGAGUGGAAUGCCGAGUGUAGAGGUGAAAUUCGUAGAUAUUCGGCGGAACACCAGUGGCGAAGGCGGCUCGCUGGUCCGUUUCUGACGCUGAGGCGCGAAAGCGUGGGGAGCAAACAGG